UACAGAGGAGCCAAGCGUUGUCCGGAUUGACUGGGCGUAAAGCGCACGCAGGCGGUUGCGCGCGUGGGGUGUGAAAUCUGGCCGCUUAACGGCCAGGCGCCAUCCCAUACGGCGCGACUGGAGUGAUGCAGAGGUCGAUGGAAUUGCCGGUGUAGUGGUGAAAUGCGUAGAGAUCGGCAGGAACACCCAGGGGGAAACCAGUCGACUGGGCAUCUACUGACGCUGAGGUGCGAGAGCGUGGGGGAGCGAACCGG
rnacentral:rRNA from 1 species